GUGACAUGGCUCAGUGGUUAAGAGCACUGACUUCCCUUCCAGAGGUCCUGAGUUCAAUUCCCAGCAAACACA
rnacentral:tRNA from 1 species